CCCUCAAGCACCCUCUAAAGUGUUUACAGUACCUCGACUACAGUUCAGAGAGAUUGAGGGCCAAAGGGACGAGGUCUGCAAGCGGUCCUGUCUUAAAAGCUUUUACGUAAAUGUAGUAUAAAGAUCUCUGAAUCGGUUUAGUUUGUUCCAUUUUGGCAUGCUUUACACUUGUGGACAUGACCUUGGCUUAUAGUCCACUCAUUCACAGUGCAUACUUCGGUCAUUCUUGCCCUUCUUUACAUGUCUAGUUCAGAGAGAUUUCCGUCCUUCUACAUUAAUAGUAAAGCUCUCGCCAUUUUUGGAAACUACAAAUGCCAAAAGCCAUUAACUCGUUUCAAAUGUGGGGGGAAUUAUUUGCAAUAUUUAUUGGGAGAUGUUACAGCACGGUUCUGUGGCAAGAGUCUUUUGACCUACUGGUCACCACUUGCCUUAAAAAAGGGAAGAGGCUUUUCGGGCCAGAUAGACGUUUUUUACGCUUUCUUGAAGACUGAGCACUUUUGUAUAUUUGAGAAAUUAUUCACAGAUUGUGUUCAACCAGAUAGUGGACACAGAGGGGGGUUUUCAGAAGAGAGGGACUGAAUAUCACAGUGAAGCUCUUCAGGAUAAUGUAUGUAUUAUGACAAUGUAAACCAUGGAUGGCAUCGGUGACUAUCAGAAUAUAAAUUGAACAUUUUAAAUGCUGUGAAAUGAUUUUUUUCUCUUCUACACGUGUACAUCUUUUUUUCCCCCUUAUUCAAUGUGAUUGUUCUAUCAUCUGUAGCAUAUCAUUUUCUAAAUUGAAUUCUUAAUGCACACAAUGGAUCAUGAAAGCAUCACACGGGAUUUUGGGUACUCUUCACGUCAAAUGUUUGAUUUUAAAUCAAUUGGUAUGAUUAUUAGGUAAUCAAAAGUGCAUCUCAAUUACUGAUGCAGUGGCUUUAAUGAAAAUCAAAACCCUGCAGAUUGUACGCACUUGAACGAGGCUCUCCGAAGCCUUAUGGUGCUCACACAUAGUCUGAUUUGGUCCAUUAAUUCCAAGUGAAUGUUCAGCUUAGUCAAACGUGCUGAAAUGGGGUUGCUUUUGUCUCAGGGUUGCCAGAUAGGGCUUAAUCACUGAUAUUAAACCUUCAGAUCAAAGUGCAUCUGUUUAUCACACAAAUCUCAAAUGUUUUAUUCCUGAUACCUGCGUUGCAUUUAGUCUGAUUCUUUUGGUUCGCUUUGUGAUUUAUUUAUCCCCAAAUGGGCGAUGCAAAAUAUUUUCCACACAUUGUUUAUUUUUUUCCCCUUGAAACCCAAAUGAUAUGUGCAAUUUUGUAUAUAAAUAUCUGUUUGCACUUAUUGUAGUUGUAUAGGAGAUCUUUAAUUAACACUGUCCCCAAACCUAUUUGUUUUUUCUAUUUAUAUCACAGGAGAUUAAAGUUAAAUCAUUAAAGACUUACAUCCCUCUUC